AAGGUCAAGGUCACGGUGACCGGAAAUAGUAAAAUCGUUACCGGAUGAUAACUCAAGAACGCUUAUGCCUAGGAUCAUGAAACUUCAUAGGUACAUUGAUCAUGACUCGCAGAUGACCCCUAUUGAUUUUCAGGUCACUAGGUCAAAGGUCAAGGUCACGGUGACCCGAAAUAGUAAAAUGGUUUCUGGAUGGUAACUCAAGAACACUUUUGCCUAGGAUCAUGAAACUUCAUAGGUACAUUUAUCAUGACUCGCAGAUGACACCUAUUGAUUUUCAGGUCACUAGGUAAAAGGUCAAGGUCACGGUGACUCAACUUAGAAAAAUGGUUUCCGGAUGAUAACUCAAGAACGCUUAUGCCUAGGAUCAUGAUACUUCAUAGGUACAUUGAUCAUGACUUGCAGAUGACCCCUAUUGACUUUCAGAUCACUAGGUCAAAGGUCAAGGUCACAGUGCUAAAAAACGUAUUCACACAAUGGCUGCCACUACAACUGACAGCCCAUAUGGGGGGCAUGCAUGUUUUACAAACAGCCCUUGUAUUAAGAGGUUAACAAAAAAAGAGAGAUUAGGCACUUGAACACUCAAUUUCUACUAUGAUUCACAAUUAUGUUUUUAUUAACACA